rnacentral:lncRNA from 1 species
GCUCGCAAUGGCUCCCUCAUCCAAGGUUGCGAACCCGCCGGCGGCCAAGGCAACGAAGGCUGCCAAAGCUCUCAAAACCACCACCAAGCCGGUCAAGAAAUUGUGGAGGAAGGUGCGCACUUCGGUGACAUUCCAUCGCCCCAAGACCCUCAAGCGCGCUAGGGCCCCCAAGUACCCUCGCCUCAGCGCUCCCAACCGCAACAAGCUUGACCACUAUGAGGUACUCAAGUACCCGCUCACCACCGAGUCCGCCAUGAAGAAGAUUGAGGACAACAACACCUUGGUGUUCAUCGUGGACGUGCGUGCGGACAAGAAGAAGAUCAAGCAGGCUGUGAAGAAAAUGUACGACAUCCAGACCAAGAAGGUCAACACAUUGAUCAGGUGAUUGUCCUCCUCUCUGUUGGGAUUUCCUUCG